GCCUCGGUAGCUUAGCCCGGUUAAAGCGCGCGGCUGUUAACCGCGAGACCGCCGGUUCAAAUCCGGCCCGAGGCG
rnacentral:tRNA from 1 species